rnacentral:rRNA from 1 species
UACAGAGGUCUCAAGCGUUGUUCGGAUUCAUUGGGCGUAAAGGGUGCGUAGGUGGCGCCGUAAGUCGGGGUGUGAAAUUUCGGAGCUUAACUCCGAAACUGCAUUCGAUACUGCGGUGCUUGAGGACUGGAGAGGAGACUGGAAUUCAUGGUGUAGCAGUGAAAUGCGUAGAGAUCAUGAGGAAGACCAGUGGCGAAGGCGGGUCUCUGGACAGUUCCUGACACUGAGGCACGAAGGCCAGGGGAGCAAACGGGG